ensembl:lncRNA
CCCAUGAAUAUUAACAGCAGCAAAAAUCUUAAAAUAAAACAAUAUGUAUGUUUACAUUUAAAAUAUCUCACAAUGUACAAUGAUUUUAUACAUAAUUUCUGCUUAAUUUCAUGAGCCAAUAAUCACGAAGAUGAUUGUCUCUAUAGAUAUGCAUAAAAUGAAUAAAUGUUUGGCCCUGACCUUCUGGCUGAGUCCUCUCCUCCUGAGUCUGCGUUUGCUCUCUGUGCUGGUGACGAGCAGCAGCAGACAGACGAUCAGCACAAACCGGCUUGGGAUCGGAGCUCCUGCCAUGGUCCUUCUCCUUCACUUGCUCUUCUCUUCUCUCUUCUCGCUCUCCUCUCGACUCCCACGCUUUGAAGUUUCGUCGUGCUGUCAAGACUCUUGACAAUUUUUUUUGUCUCUGUGUGUUUACACUGCGGUUUCCCUUUGGAGUUUGUGUAGUUCUGCUGCUCCAUGCUCCCAACCUGCUGCUGCUCCAGCUGGACUCAACCAGAUGGAGCUGGACGGAGCAGAUGCCAUGGGGGUUGCGAGGAACCUGGAGCCUAUUGCAGGGAACUCGGGGAACAAGGCUGGGGACACCCUGAAUAGUGUGCCAAUCCAUUGCAGAGCACAAUCAUACACUCACUCACACAUUACGGACCGUGUGGAAAUGCCAAUCAGCCUACAGCGCACGUAUUUGGACUGGGGAGGAAACCAGAGUACCCGGAAGAAACCCCCGAAGCACGGGGGGAAUAUGCAAAAUCCACGCACACAGGGUGGAGGCCGAAAUCGAUCCCCAACCCUAGAGGUGUGAGGCAGACGUGCUACCCACUGGGCCGCUGUGUUUCCCUCACUAUUAUAUCAUUUCAUUAUUUUUGGAAGCAUCUUUCCUUUACACUUCAUAG